CUGGCGGCCAGGCCUCUGGACUCAGCAGCAGUUAGAAUAGGGUGUGUUCAUAACAGCCUUCACUAAGGAGGAAAUCACAGGUGACCAGUACUUCGGUCCUCCUCAUCGGCCACCUUCACUCCCUUAGGCCACAUGCUUGGGUUCGGGAGGGCCCACUCCAAGCUGGGAAAGUUAUCCCUUGGGCCAGGCACUCCUGCCCCAGGCGUGUUCAGGCCAGUCUAGGCCUCUGUCAAAGGCAGGUCUGGUUUUCUUCAUCAGCGCAUGGCCAGUCCAGGCCCCUUUGGCAAAAGAGGAAGCCCAAAAUUCUCUUGCUUCACUCACCUUCUUUUCUAUAUUCUUUUCUUUUCUUAGCUUCCCCCCUACCCCCCAGCUCAAGAAACUUCACUAGCAGGACCACUUAUCUUCUUAAUGGAAAGACUUUCCUUCCACUUUGAUUUCUAGAGCCAGAUAUAAAUGAGGAACCAAGCUGUUGAUCUGGUCUUGGGUCUGGCUGUGUCACCCAGGCUGGAGUGCGGUGGCACAAUCUCGGCUCACUGCAACCUCCACCUCCCAGGUUCAAGCGAUUCUUCUGCCUCUGCCUCCCAAGUAGCUGGAAUUACAGAUACACAUCACCAUGCCCAGCUAAUUUUUGUUAUUUUUGUAGAGACAGAGUUUUGCCUUGUUGCCCAGGCUGGGCUCAAGCAGUCCACCUGCCUCGGCCUCCCAAAGUGCGGGAUUACAGGCGAGAGCCCCCGCGCCUGGCCCUGAUCCGCUUUUCACACCACCUCUGGGCGCCCUGGGCUUCCAGGCCAGGGCCGGCAAACGUAGUGUCACUGCAACAGAGCCACAUCCACUUGUAUGUGCAGGUCUGUGGCCACUUUCAUGCUGCAGCGGCAGAGGGGAGUGGUAGAGACAGAGACCUGCGGUCUGUAAAGCAGAAAAUAACUCUGCCCUUCACAGAGUUUGCGCACCUUGGUCACCUCUUGGUUUGCACACACCGCUUUGCGGAGAUUAUGACAUCUCUUGUUUAAGUGGACAUGUGUGGACCUGGUGAAGCGCUGGUUUGGGGCUAAGAGUGUCUGCAAGUGGCUAGUGAGUGAGUUUAUGGUCAGGAAAGCCUUACCCAGGGGCAGCAGUGCACUGAGCUGGACGGCAGGAGGCCCAUUUCUAGCCUCGAGUCUCUCCUACCUCACAGUGCCGCCAUCUCCUCCCUGGACUGCAGCCUGCCCCUCGUACCCUCAGCGCUGCUCCCUCACUAAGAGGGCCAGAGACAUUGCCUUUCUUGCUGUCGUCUCAGGCCCCUGGCAGCCUAUUGUAAAGAGGAUGGGGUGUUGCUCAAUAAGUCCCAGGGUCAAGGGAAGCUUUCCCCUGCCAUCUGUCAUGGCACAGGGAAGGCGCACAGGAGAAGCUCCUCGGGCUUCCCUGCCCUCCAGGCGGCACACUUGAACCUGCCGGAGCCACCCGUGUGUCGGCAGCGGCACUGGGCUGCCCACACCUCUGAGAGCCAAGUACGAGACCCGGUCUCUCUCUGGGUGGCUGUCAGUUGCUGCACACGCAAUGAGUGUCCUGGGCCUGCCUGUGAGGGACCCACAGCCCCACAUGGGCAUCACUGUCCUCCACACCAGACUGCCAGCGCAGUGACGAUUCAGCUACAAAUGGGAGAGUCGAUCUUAUUAACAGAUCGGCUUUGAAAGGCCAAAAUCCCCAUUUUGAAGAUGAAGAUAAAAGUGGGUCCUUACUCUGACGAGGCGUUUUCAUCGCCCCUCUUGGCAUGGUGCCAUGAUAGCGGUCGUGUUGUGCGUGAAGCCUGAGCUCUGCCGAAUGGAAGGGCUGUCUGCAAGUGCGGUGCGGAAGACCGCGGGCCGUCG
rnacentral:lncRNA from 1 species